rnacentral:rRNA from 1 species
AUGAUUCCAAAAUGCAACUCGCCAGAGCUCCUCUCACAGUUCAGGCCUAUUAGCCUUUGUAAUGUACUAUACAAGAUUGCAACGAAAGUUCUAGCUAACAGACUGAAAGUGAUCCUGCCUAUUCUCAUUUAG